UCAAUUCAGAACUGCAGAUAGUACAGCCUUCACAGCAGCCAGGGAUGCCUGGGCACAAGUGCCUGAGUUCCGAGGGACUUUGGGAAACACUUUGCUAACUCUCUCCUGCCUGGAAACCAGGAUUCUGCACCUGCCUGAUGGACAGUCUGGCCAGAGCCUCAGCCGUGCCCCCGGGGACAAGGAACUAGCACAAAUAACCGUUUGGAAAUUGGAUCGUGGCAAAAUUACCAAUAAGUCCAUAACGGAAACUGAAGGCAGUUUGAUCUACACCUUCAAUAACAGUCCCACAAAACUUGAAGAAAUAUGUUAUGUCUCCAAAGACAUAUACUCCAAAGAGCAUAGUUAUACCCUAAAAUUAGGACGUGAUUCAGGUCUCGCUGGGCUUCCAAAACAUGCGCAAAGUCAUGUGGCACUGCCAAGGAGUCAAUGGACUGUGAGUCACAGAGCACUGACUAACCAAUCAUUUAUUUCAUGUCUGACACUUGUGGACGUGCACCUUAUCUCUUCAGGCAGCGAAUACUCUACAUCAUGUCACAUCAGAGGCUCAGCACAACAGGGCUGGGAAAUAUCUAGCUAAUGUUUCAUCCAAAUACCUUCCAAGAUGGCAAUAACUAUCUAACAGAGAAGAACUACUGAAUAGCAGUUGGCAGCCUUGAAAAGCAUGUUUAGAAUAACCCAGUGCCACUAAUGUAGAGAAGGCAGUCUUGUCAUUUGAAGGGGAACCUAAGUCACACCAUGUUGCAAAAUAAGUGUCCCUUUUGGACCCAGUGUAACAAGAAAAUUUCUUAUGUUAUCCAUUUUGCAUACUUUACAGUGUUAGUAUGUGCAUGUGUGUGUGUGUAUUUAUGUUUUUAUGGUGGGGAUCAUUAAACAUUAUAUUUUGGUGUUGAGGCUCUUGCUGAAAUAAAAUCAUUAUAUAGAAGAGGGAACAUCAUAAGCUUUAUCUGUCACAAUCAUGCUGGUGAGGACGUUUGUUUUAAUGGGACUUAGAGAUGUUCCAUUGUUUACAGACUGUGUGAUAGACAGAAAUAUUUGGGAGCAAUACUGAAACUUUAAGCAACCUCCUUGGUACAUCCUCAGGUUCAAGAGCAUCUUAUACUCAACACACCCCGACCAAAUCUGAUUGCCUUACUUAGACCCUGCUGGCUGAACCCCACCACCAGGAACCUAGGACAGAAACCUCUCAGUGCUAUCUGACUCCCCCUCUAUCAUUUCGCUCCUCAUGGGCAUUUGAUCACUCGUUCUGACAUCCCACCCCUCCUUUCCCAGCCCCUCUCUGACCAUACGCCUUGGUUUGGGACUAAUCAUUGCUCAUGUAUAAAUGCAUUAAUCUACUCAUGGAGUUACUUGCGUCCAGAUUAAUUAAUUUGUUUAUCUGCCAUCUCCUCUAUUAGUUGUGAAUUGGUUCAGCGGUAGAAACCAUGUUUUAGUCAUGGCUCUGCAAUUUCUGAUGAAACCCACUGCCCAGCAUCUGUAUGUAAGAAAUGAAGCAGGACCCUCUGGGGCCUUCCCAGGAUAGCCCCCCCGCCCAUGUCCUCAGCCUGCCUUUUGUCUGUAGAAAAACUUUAGUAAAAGAAUAAAUUUCAUCAGAGAAGUGAGAAAAUGCAGAAGCAAAGGAAAACAGUCAAAUAAGACCAAGUAAUAAUAGUUUAGUCAUUAAACAAAGGCCUUUAGCUCCUCCUCAAGGGCUAUAGAUAAUAUUCAUAGUCAUGUCCUGUGAACUGUUUUAUAGAUACUGAAACCCCCGCCAGAUGGAAGACAUUAACUACAUGUCGACCAGACCGUAGCCAUGACAUAAGCUGCCACAGUUCCAAGGAACUGGCCUCAAAGAAAUGGGAACAAACAGACCCUAGAACUGAAGAUUAACUGUUCUUAAAAAACAAUCAAGAUGAUGCUGGUCGGACCACUGCAUGACCAAUUUCAAGAUGAGUGUCAGAGCUGACUGUGCUGUUUCUGCAUAUAGCCCCCUCCCUCCGCCUAUAAAAGCUCUUGCCCACUGGUUGUCAUGGGGGUGGGAGGGAGAGAGUCGGCCUUUUGACAGGAGUCCGCCCUCCCCACAGUUGCUGGCAUCCAAAACAAAGCAAACUUUCCUUUCCACCAACCUUACCUCCCAAGUAUUGGCUUUCAAGUGGCAAGAAGGCAGACCCCACUUUCAGUAACAUAUAUGUUUGUGUUUCUGUGUAUUUCUGUGGAUAUGCGUGUAUGUGCAUGUGCAUGUGUAUCAUUCAAUAAAAUCCAGCAUCAUGAGAAUAGGACCAAGUUGUAAGUCCCUGCAAGCCAGGUGACAGCAUGAAUGAUAAUAAGUACUAUUCUUUGAAUGCCUGCAUUGAGCCAGGUAAUUGAGACACAUUUUGUUAGAUCAGUCUCACAACAUUUAGAGGCAGCUGCUACUAGUCAUAACUUCCAGGUUACUGAAUAAAGACUCAAAGAGAUUAUGUAAGUGCUUAGAUCCAUCUGACUCCAGAACCUUUAUAUACCUAGAGACAAGUGCUAUAAAGUGAAGAAGGGCUGCAAACAAAAAUUAGAGAAGGUUUUUUUUUUUAAAUUUAUUUAUUUUUAUUUUUGGUUGUGUUGGGUCUUCAUUGCUGCACGCAGGCUUUCUCUAGUUGUGGCGAGCAGGGGCUACUCUUCGUUGCAGUGCACAGGCUUCUGAUGGCGGUGGCUUCUCUUGUUGCGGAACAUGGGCUCUAGGCAUGAAGGCUUCAGUAGUUGUGGCACGCGGGCUCAGUAGUUGUGGCUCGUGGGCUCAGUAGUUGUGGCUCGUGGGCUCUAGAGCACAGGCUCAGUAGCUGUGGCGCAUGGGGCUUAGUUGAUCUGCAGCAUGUGAGAUCUUCCCAGACCAGGGCUCAAACCCGUGUCCCCUGAACUGGCAGGCAGAUUCUUAACCACUGCACCACCAGGGAAGCCCCAAAUUAGGGACGUUUUGAUGAGAAGCUUUGCCUGCCUUAACCUCUUGCCCAGUUCCCCAGUCUGUCCACUAGAUUCAUUCAGGUUCAGAGCUCAU